rnacentral:lncRNA from 1 species
GCAAAGCAAGCAACUAAAGCAACUAAAGGGUACCUGAGAAAAACCAAACAAAUCAGUAUGCAAUUAAACAGUUAAAAGCAAAAGGAACGGGUAAACAGUCAACCACAGAAGGUCAACUGUGCAAAGCAAGACUCAAACACAUGAGUCAAACCACAUACAAAACAAAGGUUAGUUCAUAUGUAAACAAAUCCAAUCACAUUUGUAUGAUCUCAAUGGCAAUGGUGCUUAACCUGAAACAGAAACUCAAUAGUAAGCACAGAGGACCACUAGGGCUAG